UACGGGGGGAGCAAGCGUUGUUCGGAUUUACUGGGCGUAAAGGGCGCGUAGGCGGUCAGCACAAGUCAGUUGUGAAAUCUCCGGGCUUAACUCGGAAAGGUCAACUGAUACUGUGCGACUAGAGUGCGGAAGGGGCAACUGGAAUUCUCGGUGUAGCGGUGAAAUGCGUAGAUAUCGAGAGGAACACCUGCGGCGAAGGCGGGUUGCUGGGCCGACACUGACGCUGAGGAGCGAAAGCGUGGGGAGCAAACAGG
rnacentral:rRNA from 1 species